AUAAAUAUUAUUUCGCUACUUGUUUAGAAUUGUUAAAUUUGUUUACAAAUAGUUUGUUUUCAAAUUAUUUAUGCAGAUGUCUUUGGAAUAUAUAUUGUCUCCAAAUAAAUGGUUUUCUGCUACUAUUACUCAAUAUCCAAGCUGGGAAUAUCUUAAAGACUUUAUAGAUUUUAUAGAUGCAAAUCAACAAUGUUCUAUAAUGUGUAGUAAUUUUAUGGAUUUUUUUUUGGAAUUAUUUAUAGAGAAGAGGAAGAGCUAUUUAGUAGUAGAUUAAUACAUGAAUUCGUAAUGCAGCUUGUUGACUGUGGCAAAAAUAACGAUGUAUGAGUAAAAUUAGAUGAUCGUAUUGCUAGAUUUGGUAUGCAAGAAUUUUGUCUUAUCACUAGAUUACCUUAUCAUGAACCGGUUAUGGAGACUGAUCAUAGCAACCAUCGUCUUAGAAAUCAUUAUUUCAAUGGUAGUCAAAGAAUUAGGAUGAAAAUGCUAUUUGAAGUUUUCCAUGAAUGUGAAGACUUAGUAGAUAAACUUAAGUUGGGAUUAGUUAUGUUGGUGGAAUGUGUUAUAAAACCAAUUGGAAGAAUUAUUGAUUACAAAACUUUUGGUAUGGUCGAGCAUCUUGAUGAAUUUCUUGGAUAACCUUGGGGUCGAAAAUGAUUUUUUUUUUGUUAAAUUCACUACAAGAAUCACAAUUGCAAAGAGCAGAAAGAGUGCAACGGAACUAACAAAUGCAUUGUAAGUAUCUUACUUUAUUUGUAAAAGAAAAAUAAUUAUAAUUUGUAAUUGCGAUACAGUAUUGGAUUUAUGAGGCAUUUCCAGAAAUUGAAAAAAAAAAUUGGACGGCGCCGAUACAAAAUAGCACAGAGUCCACGAAUGUAUAAGUGGAGGCCUAAUAAAUUGCUGACUGAAAAAAAAAAAGAUUAAGCAUUUUCUAGCUACUCGAGAGAUUCAAGUUGUUUCAAGGUUACAUCCUACGGAGGAAGAAUUGGAGACAUCUUGCUAUAUAAAUCAUUCAUUGCCAGCUGAUAAUGAAUAUCAUGUAGUAGAUGGCAUCGUUGGUGGAGAAUUAGACAAUGUGACACAACAAAUCCCAGAUGAUACUUUUGAGAAAGAAAGGGAUAAUAUAUAUGUGCCAGAGACGACCAUUCCUAGUACGUCAAGAACUUCACCAGUAGCGGGGCCUAAUUUUGGAUCUAGCACCUCUAAUUAUGUAACUGAAGACCGGAUGACAGAACUACUUGGUGUCCAGAAGCAAGAGAUGAUAAAAGAGGUGUUUGAUAUAUGUAGCAACUUGAGAACAAAAAAAUCUAUGACAAUCAAAGACAGUUGUUCGAACAACACCAAAAAUGGCAAGAGGAUUAUAUGCAAUCUACUAUGCAUUCCUACAUGGAUAACUCAUUAUCAAGUUUUUUUAACACACAUUUGGAGAAAGAGGAACAAUUAUUCCAACAACAACAAAAAUGGCAAGAAGACCAUUACCAGAUCAUGCACUCUUAUGUAGAUACCAGUUUAGAUUCCAUGCAAUAUUAUGUCGAUGAACAAAAUAAGAAUACAUUGUAGAAAUUAUCUAAAUGAAAAUCAGACAUGGAAGCCAUUAUUAGUUGUACGUAAGAAGACAUUCCUAUUGGUACUUGUCCAAUUCCCGAUGACCGACCGAAAGAUGCUUCAACGUCUUAACAAGUUGAAAGUUCUGAAACAUCACAACGAGAGAAGAAAAAGAAGGGAAAACAAAUACAACCUUCGUUUUCUAGAAGACGUCCUUUGGAAGACUAUUCUACGCAAAAAUACUCGACUCUUAGAAACUGGAUAGCGGAGAACGAAUCAAGUGCGUAUUUGGAAGAUGUCAUUGGGAACGUCUAUGGAAAAGAUUGGUGGAAAACUUUAUUGGAUAGAACAAAAGAUAUAAAUAUUGCGGCAAUUGAAUUGGAGCUGAAGUUGUUGAGACGAUUAAUUAUUAAUGGUUGCCCCCGUGUGUCUAAAGAAUAUACAAUCAUGGACUUCCAAUUUGAAAAUGAGUGUGCCAAUAUGAUGAUUUGGCAAAGGGAUUUUCAGGCUGGAAAUAAUAAAGGUGAAUCAAAUGGAACUCUUUUGAACAAAUAUGUGAAGGGCAAAAUGCCAGUAGAAAGUCAUCCAUGGGUAGGGUGUUAGUACUUAUUAAUUCCAUGUUCAUUUCCCGAAAAUACUUGGUACCUUUUUUUGGUCAAUAUUCUGGAGUGAAAAUUCCAAAUGUACGAUUGCAGCCACAACGAGCAUACAUCUGAUCAAGUAAAGACACAUG